rnacentral:rRNA from 1 species
CAGCAGCCACGGUAAUACAGAGGGUGCGAGCGUUAAUCGGAUUUACUGGGCGUAAAGCGUGCGUAGGCGGCUUCUUAAGUCGGAUGUGAAAUCCCUGAGCUUAACUUAGGAACUGCAUCCGAAACUGGCAAGCUAGAGUAUGGUAGAGGGUAGUGGAAUUUCCUGUGUAGCGGUGAAAUGCGUAGAUAUAGGAAGGAACACCAGUGGCGAAGGCGACUACCUGGACUGAUACUGACACUGAGGUGCGAAAGCGUGGGGAGCAAACAGGAUUAGAUACCCCCGUAGUCCCUGUCUCUUAUAC